CAGUAGCCGCGGGAAUACGGAGGGAGCUAGCGUUGUUCGGAAUUACUGGGCGUAAAGCGCGCGUAGGCGGUUACUCAAGUCAGAGGUGAAAGCCCGGGGCUCAACCCCGGAACUGCCUUUGAAACUAGGUGACUAGAAUCUUGGAGAGGUCAGUGGAAUUCCGAGUGUAGAGGUGAAAUUCGUAGAUAUUCGGAAGAACACCAGUGGCGAAGGCGACUGACUGGACAAGUAUUGACGCUGAGGUGCGAAAGCGUGGGGAGCAAACAGGAUUAGAUACCCCAGUAGUCCCUGUCUCUUAUAA
rnacentral:rRNA from 1 species